GUGGGCUCCUACCCGCAGACAGCACUUUGCUUUCGUUGGUGGCUCUCAGCGGUGAAGCAAAGAGUUGCAUGUUGCCCCUGUAGGCAGGCAACCUUGGAUACAUCGUGCUGCCCCCUCUGAAUUCGCCUUUGCACGUGGGCUUGGGACCAAGUGACGGCCGAGACCGCAUCGCCAAUUGUUUCCGCCACGCUGGAUUUGGAACAAUUUUGGAAGGGUUGCUGCUGCACGCGAGCCUCGGCCUGCGCCUCCCACUCGUGCAGAGCGCCCACGUGCAGCACAGCGCCAGUACUCGGAGGCCCGCCAUCAAGAAGAGGAGGAGGCCGAAGAGAGAGCCGACGGAAAAUGACGCUACCGAUGAGGCAGAGGAAGUUCAGGAAAAUGCCGGCGAUGCGACUGCGGAAAAACAGCUCGAAGAUGACGACGAUGAGGCUGCCGAGGAGCUGGAAGAUGACACCGAAGAGCUUGUCGUCAUAGAAGUGGAGGAAGAAUUCACUGACAGCUGGGACGUUGUUAUCGAGCACCUCGGCUCGAAAGCGGACGGGGCAACGAUAGGGCAAUUCGACGAUGAUGUACCCAUCUGCCAACCGUUCACGGAAGAGGAGCUCCUCGCUCGCAGUGAGCCGGAACAAGACAACGCGGAAGCUUUGGGGGACGAGCUGGACGAGGCGGGUGAAGGAGAAGAACCCCGGCAUGCGAGUCAGGCAGAAGGCCUGAGCGCCCGGCCCUCUCUACGGUCCGAGAUUUUAUGG